GCAUUAAGUUUAUUAAAACAUUUUAUUUGCAAGUGAACGCUUCUAAUUUUAUUUGAAAUAAAAAAAUUAAUAAUUUUUAUAACAAAAUGGAUAUUGAUGAAAAACUUAUUAGAGAAGUUAAAAAAUAUGAGCCUUUGUAUAAUAUGCAAUCUGAAAAUUACGGCAAACUUAGGCUCAAAGAUGAAAUGUGGAGAUUAGUUGCAAGAAGUGUUGGAGUUCCUGUUGAUUUAGCAAAACUUAGAUGGAGAAAUUUAAGAGAUACCUAUAAAAGAUAUAAAGAAAUGAAAACUUGCCAUCUGGGAGUCGUCAAACAAAUUGUGAACCAUAUAGAUAUGCCGAAAGUUUAUCAUUUUUGGAUAAUUUUCUAAAUACACAAGCUUCAAAUCAAAGCUGCGAAAGCACACUUUCACCUCCGGAAAGAAUGAGCCUAAAUGAUUCAUCUGUUUCAUUAACUUCAAUAAGCCAGUCAUUUCAAUGCCUCGCAAACCUUAUAUAUGAAUCAGACUUCACACCAUCGCAAAAAGAAGAUAUUCAAAACGCAGUAUUUUCAGUGGUAAACGAAAAAUUUUAUGAAAUUUACGAACUAAGAAAUAUGUAUAAUUAUUAAUGAAAGAGAAUAAUUAAUAUAUUGAUAAUAUUUCAGCAUCGAUUUUUAUAAAUAAAGUAAU